rnacentral:rRNA from 1 species
GGGACUGCCGCGGUGCUAUACAUGCAGUCGAGCGAACAGAUGAGAAGCUUGCUUCUCUGAUGUUAGCGGCGGACGGGUGAGUAACACGUGGGUAACCUACCUAUAAGACUGGGAUAACUCCGGGAAACCGGGGCUAAUACCGGAUAAUAUUUUGAACCGCAUGGUUCAAUAGUGAAAGACGGUUUCGGCUGUCACUUAUAGAUGGACCCGCGCCGUAUUAGCUAGUUGGUAAGGUAACGGCUUACCAAGGCGACGAUACGUAGCCGACCUGAGAGGGUGAUCGGCCACACUGGAACUGAGACACGGUCCAGACUCCUACGGGAGGCAGCAGUAGGGAAUCUUCCGCAAUGGGCGAAAGCCUGACGGAGCAACGCCGCGUGAGUGAUGAAGGUCUUCGGAUCGUAAAACUCUGUUGUUAGGGAAGAACAAAUUUGUUAGUAACUGAACAAGUCUUGACGGUACCUAACCAGAAAGCCACGGCUAACUACGUGCCAGCAGCCGCGGUAAUACGUAGGUGGCAAGCGUUAUCCGGAAUUAUUGGGCGUAAAGCGCGCGUAGGCGGUUUCUUAAGUCUGAUGUGAAAGCCCACGGCUCAACCGUGGAGGGUCAUUGGAAACUGGGAAACUUGAGUGCAGAAGAGGAGAGUGGAAUUCCAUGUGUAGCGGUGAAAUGCGCAGAGAUAUGGAGGAACACCAGUGGCGAAGGCGGCUCUCUGGUCUGUAACUGACGCUGAUGUGCGAAAGCGUGGGGAUCAAACAGGAUUAGAUACCCUGGUAGUCCACGCCGUAAACGAUGAGUGCUAAGUGUUAGGGGGUUUCCGCCCCUUAGUGCUGCAGCUAACGCAUUAAGCACUCCGCCUGGGGAGUACGACCGCAAGGUUGAAACUCAAAGGAAUUGACGGGGACCCGCACAAGCGGUGGAGCAUGUGGUUUAAUUCGAAGCAACGCGAAGAACCUUACCAAAUCUUGACAUCCUUUGACCGCUCUAGAGAUAGAGUCUUCCCCUUCGGGGGACAAAGUGACAGGUGGUGCAUGGUUGUCGUCAGCUCGUGUCGUGAGAUGUUGGGUUAAGUCCCGCAACGAGCGCAACCCUUAAGCUUAGUUGCCAUCAUUAAGUUGGGCACUCUAGGUUGACUGCCGGUGACAAACCGGAGGAAGGUGGGGAUGACGUCAAAUCAUCAUGCCCCUUAUGAUUUGGGCUACACACGUGCUACAAUGGAUAAUACAAAGGGCAGCGAAUCCGCGAGGCCAAGCAAAUCCCAUAAAAUUAUUCUCAGUUCGGAUUGUAGUCUGCAACUCGACUACAUGAAGCUGGAAUCGCUAGUAAUCGUAGAUCAGCAUGCUACGGUGAAUACGUUCCCGGGUCUUGUACACACCGCCCGUCACACCACGAGAGUUUGUAACACCCGAAGCCGGUGGAGUAACCUUUUAGGAGCUAGCCGUCGAAGGGGACAAG